AUUGAACGCUGGCGGCAGGCCUAACACAUGCAAGUCGAACGAGUGGCACACGGGUGAGUAAUGUCUGGGAAAUUUCCUGCUGGAGGGGGUUAACCUUUGGAACCGGUAGUAAUUACCGCUUACCAUCGGAUGUGCCCAGAGGGGAUUAGCUAGUAGGUGGGGUAAAGGCGCACCUAGGCGACGAUCCCUAGCUGGCCUGCGAGGAUGACCAGCCACACUGGAACUGAGACACGGUCCAGACUCCUACGGGAGGCAGCAGUGGGGAAUAUUGCGCAAUGGGCGCAAGCCUGAUGCAGCCAUGCCGCGUGUAUGAAGAAGGCCUUCGGGUUGUAAAGUACUUUCAGCGGUGAGGCGUUACCCGCAGAAGAAGCACCGGCUAACUCCGUGCCAGCAGCCGCGGUAAUUC
rnacentral:rRNA from 1 species